rnacentral:lncRNA from 1 species
GCGAGUGUUGGGAACAACGUCUGUGGGAUGCAUGCAGCGCAGCCUGUGGGGAGGCAGGCGGGGGCGGCUUCCACUUCCUCUAGCAUCCUAAUCCCACGAUCUGGGUUUCUUGUAAAAACCUGGCCGGGCGCAGUGGCGCACACCUGUAGUCCCAGCACUUUGGGAGGCCAAGGCAGGCGUAUCACUUGAGGCCAGGAGUUGAAGACCAGCCAACAUAGUGAGACCCCCAUCUUGACAAAAAAAUAACAAAAAUUAGCCAGGCGUGAUGGUGCGUGCCUGUAGUCAGCUACUGGGGAGGCUGAGGUGGGAGGAUUGCUUGAGCCUAGGAGGCCACGGCUACAGUGAGCCAAGAUUGCGCCACGGCACUCCAGCCUGGGUGACAGAGUGAUCCUGUCUCUAAAAAAUAAAAACGUAAAAACGCUUCUUGCUUCCUGGUUUUGAAA